UACAGAGGUCUCAAGCGUUGUUCGGAUUCAUUGGGCGUAAAGGGUGCGUAGGUGGCGCGGUAAGUCGGGUGUGAAAUUUCGGAGCUUAACUCCGAAACUGCAUUCGAUACUGCCGUGCUUGAGGACUGGAGAGGAGACUGGAAUUUACGGUGUAGCGGUGAAAUGCGUAGAUAUCGUAAGGAAGACCAGUGGCGAAGGCGGGUCUCUGGACAGUUCCUGACGCUGAGGCACGAAGGCCAGGGGAGCAAACGGGG
rnacentral:rRNA from 1 species